rnacentral:rRNA from 1 species
UACGUAGGGUGCAAGCGUUGUCCGGAAUUAUUGGGCGUAAAGAGCUCGUAGGCGGUUUGUUGCGUCGGCUGUGAAAUCCCGAGGCUCAACCUCGGGUCUGCAGUCGAUACGAGCAAACUAGAGUGCUGUAGGGGAGACUGGAAUUCCUGGUGUAGCGGUGAAAUGCGUAGAUAUCAGGAGGAACACCUGUGGUGUAGACAGCUUACUGGACCACUUCUGACGCUGAGACACGAAAGCGUGGGUAGCAAACAGG